GCGCCCAUGGCGAAUUUACAGGUAUGGUCCCCCCGGGUAUAUUCCAGUUCAUCCAUGCGAUUAUGUGUGUCAUUUUUAAAGCCAUAUCUCAUUCUGUGACUUGAUUUGUGUCCAUCCGCAUUGGCCAAAUGCAUAAUGCUGACGAUCUUCAUGACCUGUUUUAUUGUUGUUGCUUCCGAGGCAAUAUUCCCCCUCUCUUAAUUCUAUCUCAAUUUCUAUGGCUGAGUCUGUAAUUUUUAAGAUCCAUGUGCCUGGCGAUACUGCACAGUAUUUAGGUGACCUUACAUGGAUUUUUUAAAUUUGAAACUGAGGGCAAAAUGCCUCAAGGAUGGGAAUUUGGGUGCCAUUACAUUUAUUUUUAGCUUUAAGAGCAGGAAAAUGCCUCUUGGAUAGGCAUUUAGGUGCGUUUACUCCAAUUUUUUCCUUGACAAGUGGGAAUAUGCCACAAGGAUACAAAUUUACAUGCCGGCAUAUUGAUUUUUAGCCUGAAAAGUGAUGAAAAUGCAUCAAGGAAAUGCAUUUAGCUUCUCUUACAUGAUUUUUAUCUUGAAAAGAUGUGACAUUUUCAUCAAGGAUGGCCACUUAGGUUCCCUUACAUAAUUUUUUUAUCCUGAACAGUGGGUUAAAUGCCUCAAGGAUAGGCAUUUACAUGCCCUUGCCAGAAUUGUUAACUUGAAUAGAGAGCAAAAUGCCUCAAGAAUAGCCUGUGGCUUUACCAUGAUUUUUAUCUUGAAAAGUAGGCAAAACACUACAAGGAUGGGCAUUUAGGCACCCUUAUUUGAAUUUUUAGCCUGAAAAGUGGAAUAAUGCUUUAAGGAUAGGCAUUUGUGUGUGGGUUUUUUUUUUUUGGUUUGGUUUGGCUACUAAUGUUCAGUACUUCAAUACAAUAAGUUGUUUCUAUAAUGCUUGAGAUGUAUUAAUACUUUAUCUAUGUUUGGAUGUAAUAUGCUCAUUCAAAGUGAAACAAUUAUUUAGAGUGUAGGCUCGAGAGGAGGUCCACAAUGCUUCACCGGGGAGUUUACAUAGGUCCAUGAUCAAAGCUGCCCAACAGGUGCAGGUGCAGGUCACAAUCCUGCCUUCCCUACCCAAAAUUCUGGUGAAGUUUGCUAAGCCCACACAUGGGUAGAGCCUUCUGCAACAACAUACAGCCAUAUGUACCAAUAUAACAUAAGGCCAUGACUGUCCAACAGGUUUGAGGCACCUAUGGAUCUAAAGAAAGAGCGGGAAAGAUUAAUAUUUGAACAAAACUAUGGGGAAGCAUUCACUUCAGCCCAUGAAUUGUUGGAUGUUUAUUUGGUUUUUAAAUAAUGCAGAUUUUGCUUAGUUUUUCAAAGUUUAUAAUUGAGAGGAUGAGCAUGUGCUCUUGAAGAAGCUAUUCGUUGGGGUACUGAUUAUCUUCUCAAAGCUACUGCUCAUCAAAACACCAUAUAUGUGCAGUUGGGAGUUUUGUCUAUGGCGGCACAAAAACAAAGAGCAAAUUUGGGACUGGACCUGAGUCAGCAAUAGAAUCUGAACAUCCGACAGGUUAGGGGAGUUGAGACUGUUACUCUUGGAGAUGAUGAAGCCCGUGCUAGAGGUUGUCAGAAAAGCAUUCUUGAGAGAAGCUCCUACAACCUUCCAUUUUUUGAUUGAAAUGAGGGAAAAGAAAUAUUGGGUCAC